UACGUAGGGAGCAAGCGUUGUUCGGAUUCAUUGGGCGUAAAGGGUGCGUAGGCGGCGCGGUAAGUCGGGUGUGAAAUCUCGGAGCUUAACUCCGAAACUGCAUUCGAUACUGCCGUGCUUGAGGACUGGAGAGGAGACUGGAAUUUACGGUGUAGCGGUGAAAUGCGUAGAUAUCGUAAGGAAGACCAGUGGCGAAGGCGGGUCUCUGGACAGUUCCUGACGCUGAGGCACGAAGGCCAGGGGAGCAAACGGG
rnacentral:rRNA from 1 species